rnacentral:rRNA from 1 species
UACGGGGGGCAAGCGUUGUUCGGAAUUACUGGGCGUAAAGGGCUCGUAGGUUGCCAACUAAGUCGGACGUGAAAUCCCUGGGCUCAACCCAGGAACUGCGUCCGAUACUGGCAGGCUUGAAUCCGGGAGAGGGAUGCAGAAUUCCAGGUGUAGCGGUGAAAUGCGUAGAUAUCUGGAGGAACAUCAGUGGCGAAAGCGACUUCCUGGACCAAUACUGACGCUCAUGUGCGAAAGCGUGGGGAGCAAACAGG